rnacentral:tRNA from 7 species
GGGAGGUUAGCUCAGUUGGUUUAGAGCGCUUGCUUCACACGCAAGAGGUCGAAGGUUCGAAUCCUUUACUUCCCACCA